GCCUCGAACGGGUUCUGAUUAUUGAAAGGGUGCUUGCAUCUUGAUUUAAUUUUGAACGAGUGGCGGACGGGUGAGUAACACGUGGGUAACCUGCCCUUAAGUGGGGGAUAACAUUUGGAAACAGAUGCUAAUACCGCAUAAAUCCAAGAACCGCAUGGUUCUUGGCUGAAAGAUGGCGUAAGCUAUCGCUUUUGGAUGGACCCGCGGCGUAUUAGCUAGUUGGUGAGGUAACGGCUCACCAAGGCAAUGAUACGUAGCCGAACUGAGAGGUUGAUCGGCCACAUUGGGACUGAGACACGGCCCAAACUCCUACGGGAGGCAGCAGUAGGGAAUCUUCCACAAUGGACGCAAGUCUGAUGGAGCAACGCCGCGUGAGUGAAGAAGGCUUUCGGGUCGUAAAACUCUGUUGUUGGAGAAGAAUGGUCGGCAGAGUAACUGUUGUCGGCGUGACGGUAUCCAACCAAAAGCCACGGCUAACUACGUGCCACCAGCCGCGGUAAUACGUAGGUGGCAAGCGUUAUCCGGAUUUAUUGGGCGUAAAGCAGCGCAGGCGGUUUUUUAAUUCUGAUGUAAACCCCUCGGCUUAACCAAGGAAGUGCAUCGAAACUGGGAAACUUGUUGGAAAGGA
rnacentral:rRNA from 2 species